rnacentral:rRNA from 1 species
CAAUAGCGUAUAUUAAAGUUGUUGCAGUUAAAAAGCUCGUAGUUGGAUUUGUGGCGUACGGUGUGUUCCGGGCACUUGUUGUCUGAGUAACCUGCUGUUGCCAUCCUUGGGUGGAACCUGUGUGGCAUUAGGUUGUCGUGCAGGGGAUGCCCAUCAUUUACUGUGAAAAAAUUAGAGUGUUCAAAGCAGGCUUAUGCCGUUGAAUAUAUUAGCAUGGAAUAAUGAGAUAGGACUUUUUUGCUAUUUUGUUGGUUUGCGCAAGAAGGUAAUGAUUAAUAGGGGCAGUUGGGGGUACUCGUAUUCCAUUGUCAGAGGUGAAAUUCUUGGAUUUUUGGAAGACGAACUACUGCGAAAGCAUUUACCAAGGAUGUUUUCAUUAA